GGAGCGCCAUUGCCCACCAAUGUCUGAAAGGAAAGAAUGUUUGGUGCCUCCUCCAGAUGGGUACAAGCCACCUAUCAGAUGGCCUAAGAGUAGAGAUCAGUGUUGGUACAGCUGAGAAAUACAAGGAAGAUGAUGUUCAGGACAGCGACCUUCUUCCAAUCAUCCUUGAUGUACAAAUAGUUGAGAUAUGAUCUCUAAGUGUAAAGCUUCGUGUGGGACAUCGAUACUUUCACCUUGCCUGAGGUGGCGGGAUCGGCUAUGAACCAUCAUUACGCAUUUGAAUAACUGAAGACUAAACUAUCACGUUAAUCCCAGUAAACUCCCUCGUCAGCAGGCAAAUCUGCUCAGAAUAAAUGUAUAUGUCAUGUUGAAGGGGAUGAAGGAUGCGAGAUUGAUGUUUUGAUGGGCUCACUAAAGUCAAAAACCAAGGACGUUGGCAUAUUUUUCUCUCUCUAUUUGGUUAAGAUUCUCUAUAUAUGAAAUUGAUUGUAAUAGAUUCUGUUGGUUAAGGUUUUUUUAUAUGAAAUUGAUUGUAGUAGACUUUAUGACUAGAAACGGAUUAUAUACUUUAU